rnacentral:rRNA from 1 species
GACAGAGGCCUCAAGCGUUUAGGCGGAAUCACUGGGCUUAAAGCGUGUGUAGGCGGAUCGUUAAGUGUCUUGUGAAAUCCCACGGCUCAACCGUGGAAGUGCACUCGAAACUGGAUGGCUAGAGUCCUGGAGAGGAAGGUGGAAUGCUUGGUGUAGAGGUGAAAUUCGUAGAUAUCAAGCGGGAACACCGGUGGCGAAGGCGGCUCAC